AGUGAACGCUGGCGGCGUGCCUCAGACAUGCAAGUCGAACGCGAAAGUCCCCUUCGGGGGACAAGUAGAGUGGCGCACGGGUGAGUAACACGUAGGUAAUCUACCUUCGGAUGGGGAAGUAACAACCGGAAACGGUUGCUAAUACCGCAUAAUGCAGCGGCACCUAAUGGUGACAGUUGUUAAAGCGGGGGAUCGUAAGACCUCGCGUCUGAAGAGGAGCCUGCGGCGGAUUAGCUAGNGGUAAGGUAAUAGGCUUACCAAGGCUACGAUCCGUAACCGGCCUGAGAGGGCGGUCGGUCACACUGACACUGACAUACGGGUCAGACUCCUACGGGAGGCAGCAGUC
rnacentral:rRNA from 1 species